CUUGCUUUCUUUGCUGGCGACCGGCGCACGGGUGAGUAACACGUAUCCAACCUGCCCUUUACUCGGGGAUAGCCUUUCGAAAGAAAGAUUAAUACCCGAUAGUAUAAUGAUUCCGCAUGGUUUCAUUAUUAAAGGAUUCCGGUAAAGGAUGGGGAUGCGUUCCAUUAGGUUGUUGGUGAGGUAACGGCUCACCAAGCCUUCGAUGGAUAGGGGUUCCGAGAGGAAGGUCCCCCACAUUGGAACUGAGACACGGUCCAA
rnacentral:rRNA from 1 species